GACGAACGCUGGCGGCGUGCUUAACACAUGCCAGUCGAACGGAAAGGCCCUGCUUUUGCGGGGUGCUCGAUUGGCGAACGGGUGAGUAACACGUGAGUAACCUGCCCUUGACUUUGGGAUAACUUCAGGAAACUGGGGCUAAUACCGGAUAGAAGCUCCUGCUGCAUGUGGGUGGUUGGAAAGUUUCGGCGGUUGGGGAUGGACUCGCGGCUUAUCAGCUUGUUGGUGAGGUAGUGGCUUACCAAGGCUUUGACGGGUAGCCGGCCUGAGAGGGUGACCGGCCACAUUGGGACUGAGAUACGGACCAGACUCCUACGGGACGCAGCAGUGGGGAAUAUUGCACAAUGGGCGGAAGCCUGAUGCAGCAACGCCGCGUGCGGGAUGACGGCCUUCGGGUUGUAAACCGAUUUCGCAUGUGACGAAGCGUGAGUGACGGUAAUGGGUAAAGAAGCACCGGCUAACUACGUG
rnacentral:rRNA from 1 species